rnacentral:lncRNA from 1 species
CGGGCUGGAAGUCGCGGGCAGUCUUGGGGCGCUGGACCAGGAAGCCCAUGAUCUGCACCUGCUUCUGGUUGUCGAAGGCCACCAGGCGCACGUAGGCAUCGGGGAAGGCCUUGGUGCAGGCGACGAUCUCGCGCAGCACCUGCAUGGGGUCGCGGCAGCCGAACAUGGGCAGCUUCCACAUGGUCCAGUAGCGGUUGUCGUAGUACAGCUGCGGGCGCACGGGAAAUGGGAGGGAGAAGAGGUUCAGUCACCAGCGCACAGAACCACCAAAGAUGGAAUUGGGCCCCUUGCUUUUCCGUGCUGAAGCACGAGCAGGGGUAUGCGUCAGUUCCCCGCGGUGAGAUAGGCGCUGUCCCGGUGCCAAGCUAACCCAGUGCCACAGUGGACCCGUCUGGCUCUCGCUCCGACUUACGCAAGACACGCUGCCGAAGCGGAUGGCCGACUCGUUGGACACGUAGGCCUUGUCGGCCUCAGCGAACUCCAGGCAGGGGAUCCAGCCUGCAAGCGACAGCACGAAGGGGGUAAGAUAAGUGGCCGACGCAAGCAGUCCAGGGCUAUCCCAGAUAAGGGCGGAUGACAGGCAAACUAUACAGCAGACAACGAACAAGCUAAUCUCAAGCUUCGAGCGAUCGUAAUGUCGCAGUCUGCAGCUACGCCCUAGAUCGUAUUAACUAGCUCUCAAACACAGCCCAGCUACAUAUGCCCACGGCACCAAGCCGUGCUCACCGUUGGCGACGAUGUAGUCGACCUGGGCGGCGAUCUGCUCGUCGGUCAGAGGAGGCAGGUAGGAGAAGGUCUCGAACAUCCUGCGAUCACGCGAUUGACCAGUACUCGUUAGAAGUGGCAGAGCACGUGCGAUGUGAGGCAGCAGGCUGGGCCCCAAGCAAUUGCGUCGCGACUUGCAGAAUCCCUAUCCUUCGGGCUGCGCUUGCUCGUCGACUCACUUGUUGUUGACCGGGGUCCAGACCAUCAUCUGGUUGGCCUGAGCCGGGGCAGCCACGGGGGCAGCCUUGACGGCGGGCUUCAGCGCGGCCAUGGGGCGCACGCUGGAGCGGGCCGGGCGAGCCACGGCCGCGGAGACGGAGGACUUGGCAAUGACGGCGGCCAUUUUAGAUGUUUGAGAAAGUGGUCGAAUGAACGAGUAAGUUCUUGGGACAAAGACUCGGAGGUGGCCGGUCGCCGUUUUCAAUCCCCGCUCGCCGAUGACCCGUACGGCAGGCUUAUCCGACUCGUCGGCUUUCACGACCGCCCGAGCCUGCGCGCUUCAUCCGCUUCCGGAUAGCUUGCUACGAUAAUGCAUUAUUCAAUUUUACGACGCAAUGUCAUGAGCAGCGCCGGGCGGGCUUAUUUACAUGCGUCGCCUCGCUCGCCGUUGACUUGAUACUUUGGAAAUUCGGGCUCGAUUCGUUGCUACAGCCUGCCUUUUGCACACAAUGUGAACGUCGAUUCUACAUUUGUAUGUGACUGAACUUCGCGGCCCCUACUGAACGUUUCGUGCAAGCGACAUGUCGACUCACAACUUGGAGGAACGCGCGAGGGGUCCCCACACGCACUUUCAGCCUGCUUUGGCGAAAUGGACAUGAUAGGUAUAGCCAGGAUAUGGGUCUGCUAGCUCGCCUGGUGUUUUGACCGUCGAUCGGUUUCGCGUUGGGCCUUGCGGCUGCUCGCUCGCCGCGGAUGCUUCCGCACACUGCGCGGCACGUGUUAGUCUGUGCACGACGACGGUUUGUUUGUAUUGCGCCGCCAACGUUCAACGGUGGUGGUAGGUUCGAAUGUCAGAAUGUCGGGCACGGGGACCUUGGGCGCAUUGCCUACAAGCGCGUGCCUGUGUUUUUGGGGGGCAGAGAAGUGAGCCUGCCUAUUGGGUCACAAUAGCACAGAGGCGGGUGGCCAGCGUCGGGAACUGGUUCAGAACGGCUGCAGGGACAGCACCGUGCGUGCGUGUGUGUGUGGGGGGAGCCUUCAAAGUUGACGAGCUUCGCAGCGCUGGGAUGGACUGGCAUUGCGUGCUUGAGUUUGCGUCCCGUGAGAACCCUGCAGUUUAUGGCGGAGACAGGGAAGAGGGAAUGGGAUCGCGCCGGUGCAGGGAAAGGGCACGAAUCUGAGGUUACGGUAUCUGGGGGGAGGUGCCCAUGUGGGAGGGGAAGCCUAACUGCCUGUCUGGGUGCAGACCAGGAAUGGCAACACGUGAACGGUUAGUAGAGAGCUGUGUGCUGUUGGGCGCUCUCGGCAAGGGGCGUGGGAGGGGGCUGGGUUGGUGGGCGGCUGUCCGCACAGUGCCUAGCAGUGCGCACUCAGGCCCUUCGCAGACCGAAGAGGGCGCCAGGGCCUAUGCGCGCGUGGCUUGGCGUGAGGUUCUUGCUGUUGGCGUCAGGCGCCGCAAAAGGCCGGGUGGCUCUGCAGUGUCCUGCUCGCUUGGCGUGCGGCAAAGUGGUUCAGUCAGCGAGCGCAGUGUAUGCGUGUGUGCGUGUAUGCGUGUGCGUGCGUGUGUGUGUGUGUGUGUGUGUGUGUGUGUGUGUGUGUGUGGUUGCUGCGGAGAGGGCACGCAGCGACACGAGAUUGCCAUGCAGUGGUGCAAGCUGCUGGGGUCGGGUAAACGGGGUGGGAAAGUUGGUGAUGGUGGAAUGUUCUUGUGGCACGAACUGGCCUUGUGCGUAUUCGUUCGCCCCGUUCACUCUGGUCCACCAAUCCCACAGUCACUGCACUUAAAUGCCUAAAAGCCCCUGCUACGGUGCGGACAGGGUAAGGCCACGGCAGGUCUAAGUCCAUAUGCGCCCGUAGAGGUUCGAGUGCGUUAACCGGUCGCAAGGUGUUCACAACAUGUUGAUGUGUUGACAACAUGGCUGUGGUCAAGACGUGCCCUGCGAACUUCCCGUGUUUACAUGUUAAUAGAGCUCGCUGACAGCAGUCAUUUGACACCAUUAUGGAAGAAAACAGAGGGGAUUUAGGGGGUGUACGGCACGGUAUGGCACGGUCGGUCGUCGGUCCGGGGGGUCGGGGGGUUCUGCAGGGUGGGGCCUGGAACUAUUGUUCGUACACCCCCGCCUGGCUCCCCUGCUCCCCCUGACUAACCCCUGACCUCUGGCUUUCUUCGCUUUCCUUUCAGUGUCACCAAUUCUCAUGAGUGGGGGCGCACCCCGAAAUAAGCGGGUACGGUGCUUCAGUUCAGUGCUUGCCACGGCCUCAAGAGCCCCAAACCACGUGCACCGAAAUUCGCUUGCACUCCAAAUGCACUGGGAAGCCAGUAGCAGCGCGCUCUCAAAUGCUGGCAUGUGUCUCUCUCUGUCCAGAGCCUGAAUGCGCCAAGUCUGCUACGGUAGGAGGGUGCAACCCGUGGCCCGCCUUGAACCGCGCUUGCACACACAGCUGGAUUGCUGCUGGCAUGACCGUGUGAAAGAGGUACAGGCAGCCGGGCAAGUCCCAGCGGGCAGGUUGGUGUAGGCUAUGCCCCAUAACAGGCCCGUGCAUGCUGCCACGGACUUCUCGCCAGGAAUGUAAGUCCCGAUGCUAGACAAUUACUCCAGCAGCUGCAUGCCGCCAUCUUCAGUACUCGGUAUCCCUUGGUGCACGCAAGUCAAGGAUCAGUCCCAGGGCUCACCCUGGAGCAAUGCAGCCUGCGUGUGCACCUGCGAUGGAGCCGCGGCCUGCGGUAUUGGCUGCCCGAUUACGAAGCUGCGGGUGGGGGCAGUUGGCACGCAUUCCGCCACAGACCCCGCGAGCCUAGCCGCACCCAAGCUCUAAGCGGCCUAGACCGUGACCAAAGGCGAAGAAGCCGCGGCCAUCCCUGCGCUCAGAUUGCAUUGGUUACAAGAGGGACCUGCUGACGCAGUUCAUGGCUUCAUGCGCUCAGAGCCCGAGCCCUGAGCGGCAGCAAAAGCAGAAGCCACGCUACGUGUGCUAGCUACGACCAAUGCCUUGUACAGCUCUCCUCGGCUGCGCUCUUCGGCUGCGCUCCUCGGCUGCGCGGGACAGGGGACUCCGUGCAACCACUAUUGCUUAUAGCCUGCACCAGUCAUUGACGAGUGUUGCGGAACUAAUGCGUACGUAGACCAGAGCGGAAGGCGGAGUGGGCUUGCAGGCGGCACGAGAGUAGGCAGUCAGUAGCGCAAGUUGCGAAUUCCCAUGUUACCUCGUAACCGACGGUAAACGCUGUGGACGGUCGCGCCCAUGGCUGGCUGACGGAAGCUGGCUGCGGUAUUGGGAUGGCUGGGCUGGAUGACGCCGGCCGGGCUGGCGUUGGGACUACCAGAAAGGAUGCGCCCGAAACCAACCUGGAGAACACCAGCGCCACCGGUGCCCAGCACGACAUGUAAGGGAGGGAGGGAGGGACAGGAGGCGUGAUGCACUGCAGCGUAGAAGCUGCAGUCAUGGGCACAGCUUGUACCAUACAGCACGGUCAUCAAGGACACAAUGCCGGAACGGCAUCAUACGAGGCGGGGUUGGGAGCUGCAGGAAGUGGGCAGCGGGGCAGAAUCAAAGGUUUGCAUCGUUUAGAACAGGUGCGGAACACGCGCCAGCGCCAGCGCGGAGGACCCCAAGUAAGGCCUUUACUCACCAAUGUACGUUUUGUACACCCAAUCUCGCCCCCUAUCGACGUUGGCACUAGGUAGCUGGCUAUCAUUCUAUGCAGAUUAAGCAAAGGGGCACCGGGAACAACUGACUCAUGUUCGUCACUGCAGGUUACUGCAAAUGCUGUCUCCACCUUUGCUGCACGGUUCCGUUUCGUCACGUUUGCUGGUGUUGCUACCCGCCGUUCUUUAGUGUGUAACUGAUCUGCGAACCGAGUCCCCUUCAGCUGAUGAACCCCGCAGCAACUUUUCCAAAAGCGCUUCAAAUACGCCCAGCCCGCCCAUGGAGAAAGAGGCCAAAAUCAACGGAGGAUCGUUACAACCAACAAAAUUGCAAAACUCCUCCGCUUUUUACGUGUUGAAAAAGACUGAUCAGCACGAAACGGGGAGCUAAGCUACCGCUUCAGCACUUGAGAGCAGUAUCUUCCAUCCACCGCCGUUCGUCAGGGGGCAAGGCUCAGAUCAACGAGCGCCUCCAUUUACACGGAGCGCUUGUUGGCGGGCUGCCAGUCGCGGGCAGACUUGGGGCGCUGGACCAGGAAGCCCAUGAUCUGCACCUGCUUCUGGUUGUCGAAGGCCACCAGGCGCACGUAGGCAUCGGGGAAGGCCUUGGUGCAGGCGACGAUCUCGCGCAGCACCUGCAUGGGGUCGCGGCAGCCGAACAUGGGCAGCUUCCACAUGGUCCAGUAGCGGUUGUCGUAGUACAGCUGCGGGCGCACGGGAAAUGGGAGGGAGAAGAGGUUCAGUCACCAGCGCACAGAACCACCAAAGAUGGAAUUGGGCCCCUUGCUUUUCCGUGCUGAAGCACGAGCAGGGGUAUGCGUCAGUUCCCCGCGGUGAGAUAGGCGCUGUCCCGGUGCCAAGCUAACCAGUGCCACAGUGGACCCGUGUGCCAAAAGCUAACCCAGUGCCACAGUGGACCCGUCGGGCUCUCGCCAGACUUACGCAAGACACGCUGCCGAAGCGGAUGGCCGACUCGUUGGACACGUAGGCCUUGUCCGACUCAGCGAACUCCAGGCAGGGGAUCCAGCCUGCAAGCAAGGGGAUGAAGGGUGCCGCGAAGGGUGAACGAGGGACAAAGACACGGACAGGAACCGGAUAAGGGGCGGCUUGACCAAGAACUCACGCUCCGACCGCUACUUCGGCAACCCAAAUAAGUGAUUCCACGCUAUGGCUCUGUCGCUGUCGUAUAGCCCGGCUGGUAGCAGCUGGAAAGCUCAAGUGAGGCUGGACAAGCCGCGCUGGCAUGAGUGCAAGCUGUUUGCCCAAGAAAAAGCCGCCGAAAGCCCAGGCUGACUGCAGAUUCCUGACUUGGGCACUGUUCGUUGCUGGAGUGUUGCUCGCAACCCCGCAAGCUCA